AGACGUCUACGAGUUUGAUCAUGGCUCAGACGAACGCUGGCGGCAUGCCUAACACAUGCAAGUCGAACGAGACCUUCGGGUCUAGUGGCGCACGGGUGCGUAACGCGUGGGAAUCUGCCCUUAGGUACGGAAUAACUCAGGGAAACUUGUGCUAAUACCGUAUGAUGUCGAGAGACCAAAGAUUUAUCGCCUAGGGAUGAGCCCGCGUAGGAUUAGCUAGUUGGUGGGGUAAAGGCCUACCAAGGCUACGAUCCUUAGCUGGUCUGAGAGGAUGAUCAGCCACACUGGGACUGAGACACGGCCCAGACUCCUACGGGAGGCAGCAGUGGGGAAUAUUGGACAAUGGGCGAAAGCCUGAUCCAGCAAUGCCGCGUGAGUGAUGAAGGCCUUAGGGUUGUAAAGCUCUUUUACCAGGGAUGAUAAUGACAGUACCUGGAGAAUAAGCUCCGGCUAACUCCGUG
rnacentral:rRNA from 1 species